CCUACGGGUGGCAGCAGUAGGGAAUAUUGCUCAAUGGGGGAAACCCUGAAGCAGCAACGCCGCGUGAAGGAUGAAGGUUUUCGGAUUGUAAACCCCUUUUGUUAGAGAAGAUAAUGACGGUAUCUAACGAAUAAGCACCGGCUAACUCCGUGCCAGCAGCCGCGGUAAUACGGAGGGUGCAAGCGUUACCCGGAAUUACUGGGUGUAAAGAGCGCGUAGGCGGGUUAGCAAGUCAGAUGUGAAAUCCCAGGGCUUAACCAUAGAACUGCAUUUGAAACUGUUAUGCUAGAGUGUGGGAGAGGUAAGUGGAAUUCUUGGUGUAGGGGUGAAAUGCGUAGAGAUCAAGAAGAAUACUAGUGGCGAAGGCGACCUGCUGGACCGUAACUGACGUUGAUGCGCGAAAGCGUGGGGAGCAAACAGGAUUAGAUACCCGGGUAGUC
rnacentral:rRNA from 1 species